rfam:Gossypium raimondii Chr01_contig_1288, whole genome shotgun sequence.
UGUUAAAAAUUCCAUCCAUUUUUACUGUUAAAAACUAGUGUGGUUGACCGAAUAAGAUAGUUACACGCGGCAUCCACAUGUACUUUAUUCUAAGUAUAAGGAAUAAUUUUUAACGGUAGAAAUUAAUAAAAUUAAAA